rnacentral:rRNA from 1 species
UACGUAGGUGACAAGCGUUGUCCGGAUUUACUGGGCGUAAAGAGCGCGCAGGCGGUCGUUCAAGUCGAGUGUGAAAGCCCCCGGCUCAACUGGGGAGGGUCAUUCGAUACUGAUCGACUCGAAGGCAGGAGAGGGUAGUGGAAUUCCCGGUGUAGUGGUGAAAUGCGUAGAUAUCUGGAGGAACACCGGUGGCGAAGGCGGCAUCCUGGACCAACACUGACGCUGAGUGAGCGAAAGCCAGGGGAGCAAACGGG